UGCUUGGGAAUAUGCCUUGAGGUGGGGGACAACAGUUGGAAACGACUGCUAAUACCGCAUAAUGUCUACGGACCAAAGGAGGGGAUCUUCGGACCUUGUGCUACUGGAUAUGCCCGCGUCGGAUUAGCUAGUUGGUGAGGUAAUGGCUCACCAAGGCGACGAUCCGUAGCUGGUCUGAGAGGAUGAUCAGCCACACUGGGACUGAGACACGGCCCAGACUCCUACGGGAGGCAGCAGUGGGGAAUAUUGCACAAUGGGCGCAAGCCUGAUGCAGCCAUGCCGCGUGUGUGAAGAAGGCCU
rnacentral:rRNA from 1 species